rnacentral:lncRNA from 1 species
ACGUCUGCUAAAGCACUUGGACACUGGACAUAGGAGCAUGACAAGGCUCAUGAGAGAAAAGUGUUGCUGAUUCUAGAUGGGCUACAUUCUGGUCCAUGAAGGUCACCGUGAUUUUCAUCUUGUGAUGAAUGCUGUUCCAGCCUGUGAGAUUUAGCCCAUUAUUAGGAUGGAAGUUACGUCUUAAGCAGAGCUUACCAAAACUUAGCCUUUGCUAUUUGGUCCUCGCUAUAGAGGGGAUAGAGUAAAAUUCUGCUGAUGUAACUUUUGCUUGCGUUCACUGACUUCAGGGUUGUUGUACUGGAUUUUGCUAGCCUGCCCAGGAUGCUGAAGAAGGCUGCCAAAGUGCUGGAGUCUACAAAUAGCACAUCUCAUACAGAAUUAUGUUUUCAAGAACUCAAGGCUAUAUCCAAAACACAGUGAAAGAAAGACUUCCAUUGAUUUAGCUGAGCUUUGAAUCUAGCCCUUGCUAUUUUAUUAAUGGGAUUUGCCAUGUAACGUGGAGUGUUUGUUUCAUUACUGGUGGAGUUUCAAAGCUUCUGAGGCUAUCAUCCGUGCCAGAAACUGCAUCUAAAUGUGAGCACUCUCAAAGGUCAGGGUUGGAGAGCACUGAAGUAUUCAGUACUCCAGACUGGGCUCGCAUCCAGUGAAUGCAUCCUAGACUUUAAGCUUCAGCAGGAUAAGCAGAGCAGAGGAUCUACAGAUGGAAUACUGUGGGAUCAGGUAAGUAAGUGUGUGUUAUCACCCACGCCAAGAGCAGCAGAGCACAGAUGGGCAUGAAGUCCCCAGCCAGUGAAUCUCUCAGUGCUGCUGUGGCUCCCAUAGCUAAGCCAGGUAAGAUAUGGAAAGGGAAUGUGUUGGUAAGCUUGGUUUAUCCUUUCAGAUGACUUCUGCACUUCUGCAGAGCUCAUAAAGUUUGUUCCUCUUUACUUUCAGUAAUUGUAAUGUUGAACAGAAGAAUUCAAGCGAUUUGCUCUGAGUUGUUGAAUUUUGACUGAAUGCAUGAUUCUGAAACGUUAACAGGUUUUGAGAAAUAAAUUCAGUUGCCUUCUAAAUUCAUUUAAUGGCAAAAAAAAGAAGAGCUAGAAAAAAAAUCCUGACAAUAUUAGAACAGUAAGAGGAGUGCUAAGGAGGAUCUCCAUCCUUCAUUGGAUGUGGUGGGGAACGUGACCACCAAGGAUAAGGAAAAGGCUGUGGUUCUCAAUGCCUUCUUUACAUCUGUCUUUAUAAGUUAUCCUUGGGGUACUCUACCCCUAACCU